AGAGAACAACAUAUUUCAUAGACUAUAAGAAAAUAGUUUGCGAAGAAAAAUAGAGUCUGAGAGAUAUUGUAGUGAGGUGAAAAAUAUAAUAAUAAAAGAGUGUUUAUUUCUUUUGAGGGUGUAGUGGUCUUAGGAGUAUUUUUACUCAUUACUACACAGUGUAAAAUUUCUCACUAUAGUGACAUCAGUUGCUCUUCUUGGACGUGGAUUUUUCCCUUAUUCAGAAGGGUUUCCACAUAAAAUCUUGAUGUCAUUAUUGCUGCAUUUUUAUUCUAGCUGAUUUAACCAUAACUUAGUGUUCUGCAUUUAUCACUUAUACAGUGAAUACUAUUUUUACGGGGUUUAUUCCCAACAAGUGUUAUCAGAGCCAAGGUUCUAUCUGAGUACUGUGGUUGCAGCACAGUCUGAACUUUCACAUCAGAAAAGAAUUAUUUUGGUCUCAUAAUAAAUAUUACUUGUAUUUGUGAUAAACAAUGGAAGCCAACACUAGUAGAAUGGUUGCUUUGAAUGGCACAAAUUAUCAUUUGAAAGGGCAAAAUGGAAGAUUUGCUCUAUGUAAAAAAAUUUCAUCAACCUGUCUACGCUACUAUAAAGAUUGAAAAUAAAUUAGAUGAAGAGUGAAAUUUGUUACACAGACAGUGUUGCGG
rnacentral:lncRNA from 1 species